CAGCCGCCGCGGUAAUACGAAGGGUGCAAGCGUUACUCGGAAUUACUGGGCGUAAAGCGCACGUAGGCGGCUUGGUAAGUUAGAGGUGAAAGCCCGGAGCUCAACUCCGGAAUUGCCUUUAAGACUGCCGAGCUAGCAGGUGAGAGAGGUAAGUGGAAUUCCGAGUGUAGAGGUGAAAUUCGUAGAUAUUCGGAAGAACACCAGUGGCGAAGGCGGCUUACUGGCUCAUACUGGACGCUGAGGUGCGAAAGCGUGGGGAGCAAACAGGAUUAGAUACCCCGGUAGUCCCUGUCUCUUAUAC
rnacentral:rRNA from 1 species